GAGUUUGAUCAUGGCUCAGAUUGAACGCUGGCGGCAUGCCUUACACAUGCAAGUCGAACGGCAGCACGGGAGCUUGCUCCUGGUGGCGAGUGGCGAACGGGUGAGUAAUGCAUCGGAACGUAUCCUGGAGUGGGGGAUAACGUAGCGAAAGUUACGCUAAUACCGCAUAUUCUGUGAGCAGGAAAGCGGGGGACCUUCGGGCCUCGCGCUCUUGGAGCGGCCGAUGUCGGAUUAGCUAGUUGGUGAGGUAAAGGCUCACCAAGGCGACGAUCCGUAGCAGGUCUGAGAGGAUGAUCUGCCACACUGGAACUGAGACACGGUCCAGACUCCUACGGGAGGCAGCAGUGGGAAUUUGGACAAUGGGGGCAACCUGAUCCAGCCAUGCCGCAUAAGUG
rnacentral:rRNA from 1 species